GAAAAUUUGCUUAUCUGCCUCCUCCACAGCCUGUUUGGUGUUUGCAAGCAGGGACAGCCUACUUGGUGAAGCCGGCUCUGCCUCACUGUAUCCAAACAGAAGGAGUCCUCAUGGGGACCUUGGUGGGCAUUCUGAUGCUCACGUGUGCUGGGACAUAGAUUGUACAUGAGCAGCAACUUUGAGAAUUUGGGAACACUCUUUUUGGAUCAACGUGAACUUCUAUUGAGACAGGAAUCUAGCAUGGCUGUAUUCUGAGAGGCUCCACACAGCAGCUGACUCAGAGGGAUGCAGAUACCCACCACCAAACAGAGGAUGGACCUUGGGGACUUGUAUGGAAGGGCUGGGGAAAGGAUUGAGGGCCCUGAAGGGGAUAGGAACCCCACAGGAAGACCAACAGUCAACUGGCUGGGACCCUUGGGACUCUCAGAGACUGACCCACGAAUCAAAUAGCAUACCUGGACUGGACUUAUGGCCUCCUGCACAUAUGUAGCAGAUAUGAAGCUCUGUCUUCAUGUGGGUCCCAAAUAACUGGAGUGGGGGCUUGAGAAAUUGAACCACCAUCUACUUUCUUUCUUCCUGUUCACAGACCUCUGACUCAGGCUCUUGUUCUACUGCCAUAGUAAAGCACUUGGUUGCCAACACAGGACAGGGCUUAGUUCUAAGAACUUUGGCUGGUGGUCCAGUGUGGCAGCCAUCCCAACACGGCCAAGCUACACUUCUUACCUGGCUACAUACAGAAAUAGUAGUUUUGGCCCUUCUUAGAUUCUUAGGAUCUUCUGACUACAUAUUGUGGAAAAGCCUUCAUGUACUAAGACCCAUUUGUCAAAAUAUUUAUUUGAAAAUGUAUUUACCUAUUAUUUCUCUUUGGGGAAACCUUAAAUGUUUGUUUUAGGUGUUGAUGAAGGUAAACUACAGUAAGUAAAAGUUGAUAAUACUGAUAGGUUUUUCUUAAAUAUGGAGACUUAAAAUAUACUAAAGAUCUAGUGUUAUUUCAGAAGAAAGGGUUGAACGAUUAUGGGAACCAAAAGAGGAGGAAUUUUGCUGAGAGACUAUGUUUUCUAGAACUGUAAAAGAAGGUACAUUCAGGGAGUCUCCCAACAUGACUGCCUAAAUAUGACCUUAAUAAGAUCAUAUUUGGCUCCACUAGUUAUGCUAAAUGGACAGGGAGAGCUCAUGAGGCCUCACUCUUGAUAAAACACCACAGGAAACCAAGGAAUGCUGAGAAUGGGAGACAUAGUCUUUCUCAGGGGAAUCACAUCAAUUGGUUAUCUAAUAAUAAAUAGCCCUGAAAACACUUAUACUGUAAGACCCCCCAAAAAACCGAGGUGUCCCAGCACCCCAUGCCCCGGAAGGUGACACCCAAAUCACUUGCAAGAAACGGUCUAGAUGAAACAACAUGAGGAUUUCUUUAUUCUCGAAUUCUGGGUUCCACAGCCGUAUACCAUGCAGGGCUAGAGGACUGUGGACCACGAGUGCCAAAUUGCGACAGCUUUUAUAAAUUUACGACAAAGCCUGCGAAUCACAAACCAAUCAUUUCUUAGCAUGAUGAGCCCGCGAAAUGUGAGCCAAUCGAUUUGUAUCACUCCAUAGUUUUAAGGCCAAUCAGUUUAAAUUAUCGGAACCCGCGCUCAGUGGACCAAUUAGUUUCCUAUUUUCUUGAAUGUCUAUAGCUGCGUGAACUCCUGCAUAGGGGCAAUGGUGUAAGUUUACAGAAGCAAGAUAAGUUUAGCCCAUUUCCAGUUACCUUGUGGGGCCAGGAUCACCUAUUCAAGGCCUUUCUACUAGCUCUAAACAAAGGGCAGGUUCUGGAAUGUGACCUUUUACCUAGUUUCUAACAAAGCAAGAUAGCAUUUUAAACUUCUAACUUCUUGGGGUCAUUAGAGUUAGGCUGUAUUAUUUUUUAUCCUUUUAAUACAAUAUAUAUUAUAAGGACU